UACAGAGGGUGCAAACGUUGUUCGGAAUUACUGGGCGUAAAGGGCUCGUAGGCGGCCAACUAAGUCGGAUGUGAAAUCCCCAGGCUUAACCUGGGAACUGCAUCCGAUACUGGAUGGCUUGAAUCCGGGAGAGGGAUGCAGAAUUCCAGGUGUAGCGGUGAAAUGCGUAGAUAUCUGGAGGAAUACCGGUGGCGAAGGCGGCAUCCUGGACCGGCAUUGACGCUGAUGAGCGAAAGCUAGGGGAGCAAACGGG
rnacentral:rRNA from 1 species